AAUAAAAAUUUAGGGAAAUAGUAGUAGUAAGUAACCGCUUCCCUUUGGCAUCAAUCACCGUCAAAACAUCUCUCUAAAUGCUUUGCUGCAAAAAUUUCUUCUCAUGUGUACGGGUAAGUGAGCCACCAAAUCAAAAUCCAAACUAGAAGCUUAGAAGAAAAACCAAUAUGAUAUUAAAUUGGUAAAUAUUCAAGCAAAAUUCCAUUGUGACCAUUGAACGAAAACUUCAACAACGAAACACAAUUCCAUCAAAGCGUGUACUGAGUCAGGUCAGCCUUACUGAGUCAAGUUGUAACCGAUCAUGACCUGCAAUAUUGCCGCAACACCCAAGCAACUGUGAUGUAUCACUGCAGUCUCGAGAUUGAAUUAGAACACCAAAUUAGAGAGUAAGAGAGUCACCUACAGGUUGAAGAGGAUGGGUAGAUUCACUUUUCCGACGACGGUGUCGGCCGUAAAUCGACGAACGGUGAAGCAGCCUUGACAUUGGAAAGUUUAAUUAAGGAAAGGAGUCAAGGCGGUGUACGAUUUGAGUAUCAGUUGAAUAUUCCAAUUUAAGAUGCAACACACGUCAUUCGUGAAUGAUUCGUGAAGCUAGGCUUCGCGACAUCCAGCAUUUUCCA
rnacentral:lncRNA from 1 species